rnacentral:tRNA from 1 species
GCCUCUGUAGCUCAAUGGAUAGAGCGCCGGACUUCUAAUCCGUCGGUUGUGGGUUCGAGUCCCACCAGGGGCG